CUGACCGAUCUCUUCGCAGAGCCACCCGCGCAUCGGAGGAGCAUAGCAGCAAGUAAGGCGAGCACCUACGAAAAGCUACUCAACGCAAGUACGAUUGCUGCGUGUAAUCUAAAGCUGUACGCUUACGAACAAUCAAAGCCCACCAUGGCAGGAACGUUUGUCGCACUUGGAUUACUGCUGCUCACCAUUGUGGCAACCGUGGCUUCAGAAGAGCCAACUUGUCCGGAUAUCGACUGCUCGAACAACAGCGCUUGCUUUAUUGGGCAAGAGCGCUGCAUUUGCUCAUGCGUUGGUGACAGACACCCUUGUGGGGCUUUCCUAAGCAUCCCGUGCACGCAGGGCCGUUCCAUCAGCUGUACCAGACGCCAUGGCCGAUGCACUUGCAAAUGUGUUUUCUAAAUGACUCGCCCAAGACAGUGUACACAUGUCUAAUAAAAGGCGCAUUGAAAUAAAAAAUAA